rnacentral:rRNA from 1 species
GAUGAACGCUGGCGGCGUGCCUAAUACAUGCAAGUCGAGCGAACGGACGAGAAGCUUGCUUCUCUGAUGUUAGCGGCGGACGGGUGAGUAACACGUGGAUAACCUACCUAUAAGACUGGGAUAACUUCGGGAAACCGGAGCUAAUACCGGAUAAUAUUUUGAACCGCAUGGUUCAAUAGUGAAAGACGGUUUUGCUGUCACUUAUAGAUGGAUCCGCGCUGCAUUAGCUAGUUGGUAAGGUAACGGCUUACCAAGGCAACGAUGCAUAGCCGACCUGCGAGGAUAAUCGGCCACACUGGAACUGAGACACGAUCCAGACUCCUACGGGAGGCAGCAGUAGAGAAUCUUCCGCAAUGGGCGAAAGCCUGACGGAGCAACGCCGCGUGAGUGAUGAAGGUCUUCGGAUCAUAAAACUCUGUUAUUAGGGAAGAACAUAUGUGUAAGUAACUAUGCACAUCUUGACGGUACCUAAUCAGAAAGCCACGGCUAACUACGUG